rnacentral:misc_RNA from 1 species
UGAUGCGGAUGGUCAUCAGUGAGGUAACUCCACAAACAGUGCCGCUGGAUCGAGUCAGAGGAUGGCUUUCAAGGGUAGACGAAACCAUUACUGAAGCUAAUUCUCUCCUCAACAGAGCUACGCGAGAAACACAGAAAUUGUGUCUCGCAGGCUGUUGCUCCAAGAACUGUUAGUCCACCUACAUGUUUGCGAGAAGCGUUUCCAGAAGCCUCAGACAUGUGGGUGGUUUGAUGAGAGAAGGAGAUUUUAAGAAAGUGGUUGAGAGGAAACUUCCAGAACCAGUGGAGUAGGAAAUGUUAAUCCAACAUUGGGCACUGAAACCAGUGGUACUGGAGACAUAGCUAAGGAGUCCAGCAGACCUCAUACAGGGUGGACUUUCAGAUCUGCACACGGAGUCCAGAGUCACCUCACAUUUG